rnacentral:rRNA from 1 species
GAGUAACACGUGGGAAACCUGCCCAGAAGCGGGGGAUAACACCUGGAAACAGAUGCUAAUACCGCAUAACAACUURGACCGCAUGGUCCGAGYUUGAAAGAUGGCUUCGGCUAUCACUUUUGGAUGGUCCCGCGGCGUAUUAGCUAGAUGGUGRGGUAAYGGCUCACCAUGGCAAUGAUACGUAGCCGACCUGAGAGGGUAAUCGGCCACAUUGGGACUGAGACACGGCCCAAACUCCUACGGGAGGCAGCAGUAGGGAAUCUUCCACAAUGGACGAAAGUCUGAUGGAGCAACGCCGCGUGAGUGAAGAAGGGUUUCGGCUCGUAAAACUCUGUUGUUAAAGAAGAACAUAUCUGAGAGUAACUGUUCAGGUAUUGACGGUAUUUAACCAGAAAGCCACGGCUAACUACGUGCCAGCAGCCGCGGUAAUACGUAGGUGGCAAGCGUUGUCCGGAUUUAUUGGGCGUAAAGCGAGCGCAGGCGGUUUUUUAAGUCUGAUGUGAAAGCCUUCGGCUCAACCGAAGAAGUGCAUCGGAAACUGGGAAACUUGAGUGCAGAAGAGGACAGUGGAACUCCAUGUGUAGCGGUGAAAUGCGUAGAUAUAUGGAAGAACACCAGUGGCGAAGGCGGCUGUCUGGUCUGUAACUGACGCUGAGGCUCGAAAGUAUGGGUAGCAAACAGGAUUAGAUACCCUGGUAGUCCAUACCGUAAACGAUGAAUGCUAAGUGUUGGAGGGUUUCCGCCCUUCAGUGCUGCAGCUAACGCAUUAAGCAUUCCGCCUGGGGAGUACGGCCGCAAGGCUGAAACUCAAAGGAAUUGACGGGGGCCCGCACAAGCGGUGGAGCAUGUGGUUUAAUUCGAAGCUACGCGAAGAACCUUACCAGGUCUUGACAUAC